ensembl:miRNA
UGAGGCAGGAGAAUUGCUUGAACCCAGGAGGUGGAGGUUGCAGUGAGCCGAGAUCGUGCCACUGCACUCCAGCCUUGGUGACAGAGCAAGACUCCAUCUC